CCGUUUGUGCAAAACUUGAACAAGCAUGUGAAAGGAGGCAGAGAGAAACAAGCAACAAUACAACCACAAACAACUCCAGCAAUAUUAAUCUGUGUUACAGAAGCAAUCCUUGAAUUAUUUGUCAACGAAUCAAAGAUGUAAAGUAUUUAGGAUCGUUUUGGUAUGGACUUUGCUUGCUUUUUAUUUUCGUUUUCUGAAAGUUCAAAGAAGAAAAUUGAAAAGUAAAGAUUAGACUUUAUUUGCUUUCAAAAAAAGUGAAAAUUCAUU
rnacentral:lncRNA from 1 species